rnacentral:rRNA from 1 species
UACGAAGGGAGCUAGCGUUGUUCGGAAUUACUGGGCGUAAAGGGCGCGUAGGCGGUUUGACAAGUUGGAUGUGAAAGCCCAGGGCUCAACCCUGGAACUGCAUUCAAGACUGUCUUGCUUGAAUUCGGUAGAGGUUGGUGGAAUUCCCAGUGUAGAGGUGAAAUUCGUAGAGAUUGGGAAGAACACCCGUGGCGAAGGCGGCCAACUGGACCGACAUUGACGCUGAGGCGCGAAAGCGUGGGGAGCAAACAGG